UCUACCAAAGGAAAAUAGAUAUCCAC
rnacentral:tRNA from 1 species